rnacentral:lncRNA from 1 species
AAAACUUAUUUUGCAUCUCCUGUCACAUGGUGAGGCCAAAAACAAUAUCCACAUCUAUGUAACAAACAAAAAACUGAUCAAAUAGAACAAAAGGGAACCAAUCACCAAACCAGAACCGCUUUUCCUUCAAAAAUGGUGAAGAACCACACAAAGAUCCAUCUGAAAUGGAAGUGCAUAAACAAUAAGCAAGGGGAAAGCCCAGGAAGAAGACAAUGACAGUAGAAAAAUAUUAUACUCCCUCUACAAUGCUUCACGUCCAACAACCAGACCAAGAUAGCCCCACCUUAAGCUCCGACUUUGGUAGAAUCAAAACUUAUUUUGUAUCUCCUGUCAAAGGGUGGGACCAAAAACAAUAUACACAUGUACGUAACAAACAAAAAAUAGAUUAAACAGAGCAAAAGGGAACCAAGCACCAAACCAGAACCGCCUUCCCACGAGAACUGGUUAAUUAGAACCCAAAGAUCAAACAUUUGAAGAUUAAAGAGCAUAACAAUAAGCAAAGGGAAAAAGUUCACCUAGAAGAUAAAUCACAAUAGAAAAAUAAUAUACUCCUGUUGACACCCACCAUAAACACUAUACCAAUGGCAGCAUCCAAGAUUGGUCCAUAUCCAAAUAACCAGACCAAGAUAGCCUCACCUUAAAUACCUAACUUUGAUGGAAUCAAAACCAAUUUUGUAUCUCCUGACACAGGGUGAGGCAGAAAACAAGGUCCAAGUCUACGUAACAAAAUAAAACUAUAAUAGAGAGCAAAGAUAACCAAGGAUCAAACCAGAACAGUCUUCCACAGAAGCCUGAUUAAGAAACACACAACGAUCCGGCAUCUGGAAAUUGAAAAGAAUAACGAUAAGCAAGGGAAAGUUUAGGUAGAAUAUAAAAUUUAGUAAAAAAGUUACAAUACUAUACUCCCUAUGCAACCCUUGAUAAACACUAUAUCAAUGACAGCGUCAAAGGUUGCUCCGUGUCCAACAAUCAGACCAAGAUUGCACCACCAUAAGCUCCUACUUUGAUAGAAUCAAAACUUAAUUUAUAUUUUGUGUCAUAGGGUGAUGCAGAAAACAAUAUCCACGCCAACGUAACAAACAAAAAACUGAUGAAAGAGAAAAAAGAUAACAAAGCAUCAAACCGAACAGCCUUCCAAUUAAGAACCACAACGAUCAGAAAUCUGAAAAUUGAAGAGUAUAACGACAAGCACCGGAAACUCUAGGUAGAAGAGAAAAUAUAGUAGAAGAAAAUGUAGUAUAACAAUCUGCAUCCCUCAAUAAACAUUAUAUCAAUUGACAUCUUAUAUUAGUCCGCAUCCAACAACCCCACCAAGUUGGCCCCCACCUUAAGCUCCCACUUUGAUAGAAUAAAACUGAAUUUGUAUCUCCUGUCACAGGGUGAGGGCGAAAAAAAUAUCAAAGUCUACGUAACAAAAAAAAAAAAACUAUAAUAGAGAACACAGACAACCAAGCGUCAAACAAGAACUGCCUUUCAGAGAAGCUUGAUUAAGAACAAAACAGCAACCAAAGAUUUGUCCAUGUCCAAAAACCAGACCAAGAUAGCCCCCACCUUAAGCUCCUACUUUGAUAGAAUCAAAACCUAUUUUGUAUCUCCUGUCACAGGGUGAGGCUGAAAACAACAUCCAAGUCUACAUAACAGCAAAAGAACUAUAAUUGAGAGAGCAAAGAUAACCAAUUAUCAAACCCGAACUGCCUUCCAGUUAAACUUGAUUAAGAACCACAUAAUGAACAGGCAUCUGGAAAUGGAAGAGAGACUAACAAUAACCACAGGAAAGUCUAGAUGGAAGAUAAAUUGUAGUAGAAAAAAAUACUAUAUUAUACUCCCUCUGCCAUCCUCGAUAAACACUAUAAUUGACAGCGUCAAAGGUUGAUCUGUGGCCAAUAUAACUAAACCAAGAUUAGCCCCACCUUGAGCUCCUACUUUGAUAAAAUCAAAACAAAAUUUUUAUCAUCUGCCAUAGGAUGAGGCAGAAAUACAAUAUACACGUAUACGUAACAAACAAAAAAACUGAUGAUAGAGAGAAAAGAUAAACCCAGCAUCAAACCAGAAGUGCCUUCAAGUAAAGAACACCUGGAAAUUGAAGAGUAUAACGAUAAGUAUAGGAAACUCAAGGUAAAAGAGAAAACGUAAAAAAAAAAAAAAUAACUAUACUGUACACCAUCUGCCACCCUCGACAAACACUAUAUCAAUGAUGGCAUCAUAGAUUAGUCCAUAUCCAAAAACCAGACCAAGAUAACCCCCACCUUAAGCUUCAACUUUGAUAGAAUCAAAACCUAUUUUGUCUCCUGGCACAGGGUGAGGACCAAAACAUUGUCCAAGUCUACAUAACAAAUAAACAAUAAUUACAGAGCAAAGGUGACCAAUUAGCAAACCAGAACAGCCUUCCCGUGAAGCUUGAUUAAAAACCACACAGCGAUCAGGCAUCUGGAAAUUGAUGAGAACAACGGUAAGCAUGGGAAAGUCUAGGUAGAAGAUAAAAGAUAGUAAAAAAAAAAAAAACUAUUCUAUACUCUCUUUGCCAGGCCCACACCACUAUAUCAAUGACAGCAUCAAAGGUAGAUCCGUGUUCAAUAACCAGGCCAACAUUAGCCACACCAUAAGCUCCUUCUUUCAAAACUUAAUUUUUAUCUCCUAUCAUAGGGUGAGGCAGAGAACAAUAUCCACGUCUACAUAACAACAAAAAAUUGUUGAAACUGACAAAAGAUAACCAAGAAAACAAGAAGUGCCAUCCAUUAUGGAAAUUGAAGAGUAUAACUAUAAACACGGGAAACUCUAGGUAGAAGAGAAAAUGUAGUAGAAAAAAAAAAUACUAUUAUGUAUUUCCUUUGCGACCCUCGAUUUACAAUAUACCAAUGAUAACAUCAAAGAUCUGUCCGCGUCCAAAAACCAGACCAAGAUAGCCCCCACAUUAAGCUCCUACAGUGAUGGAAUCAAAACCUAUUUUGUAUCUCCUGUCACAGGGUAGGCCCAAAACAAUAUCCAAGUCUAUAUAACAACAAAAGAAAUAUAAUAGAGAGAUCAAAUGCAACCAAUUAUGAACCCAGAACUGCCUUCCAGUUAAGCUUGAUUAAGAACCACACAACGAUCAGGCAUCUGGAAAUUGAAGAGAAUAACAAUAAGCACGGGAAAGUCAAGAUGGAAGAUAAAUUGUAGCAGAAUUAAUACAAUACUAUACUCCCUCUGACACCCUCGAUAAACAUUAUAUCAGUGACAGCAUCAAAAGUUGAUAUGUCUCCAAUAACUAGACCAAGAUUAGCCCCACCAUAAGCUGCUUCUUUCACAACUUAAUUUUUAACCCCUGUCACAAGGUGAGGCAGAAAACAAUAUCCACGUCUACGUAACAAAUAAAAGAUUGUUGAAACUGACAAAAGAUAACCAAGCAUACCAGAAGUGCCUUCCAGUUAAGAACCACACAACAAUCAGACAUCUGGAAAUUGAAGAGUAUAACUAUUAGCACGGGAAACUCUAGGUAGAAGAGAAAAUGUAGUAGAAAAAAAAUACUAUUAUGUACUCCAUGUACUCCCUUUACCACCCACAUUAAACUAUAUCAAUGACAGCAUGAAGGAUUUGUCAGUGUACCAAAAACCAGACCAAGACACGCCCCCACCUUAAGCUCCUACUUUGAUAGAAUCAGAACCUAUUUUGUAUCUCCUAUCACAGGGUGAGGCUGAAACCAACAUCGAGUCUAAAUAACAACAAAAGAACUACAAUAGAGAGAGCAAAGGUAACCAACUAUCAAACCCGAACUGCCGUCCAGUAAGCUUGAUUAAGAACCACACAACGAUCGGGCAUCUGGAAAUGGAAGAGAAUAACGAUAAGCACCGGAAGGUCUAGAUGGAAGAUAAAUUGUAUUAGAAGAAAUACUAUACUAACUCCCUCUGCCACCCUCGAAAAACAUAUCAUGACCAUCAAAGGAUUGAUUGUGUGCAAUAACUGACUAAGAUUAGCCCUACCUUAAGCCCUACUUUGAUAAAAUUAAAACUUAAUUUUUAUCUCAUGUCAUAGGGUGGGGCAGAAAACAAUAUCACGUCUAUGUACAAACAAAAAUUGUUGAAAUGACAAAAGAUAACCAAACAUCAAACCAGAAGUGUCAUCCAGUUAAGAACCACCCCACGAUCAGACAUCUGGAAAUUGAAGAGUAUAUCUAUAAGCACGGGAAACUCUAGGUAGAAGAGAAAAUGUAUAGAAAUAAAAAUACUAUUAUGUACUCCCUUUGCCACCCUCGAUUAACACAAUAUCAAUGACUCAUCAAAGAUCUGUCCGCGUCCAAAAACCAGACCAAGAUAGCCCCCACAUUAAGCUCCUACAGUGAUGGAAUCAAAACCUAUUUUGUAUCUCCUGUCACAGGGUAGGCCCAAAACAAUAUCCAAGUCUAUAUAACAACAAAAGAAUAUAAUAGAGAGAUCAAAUGCAACCAAUUAUGAACCCAGAACUGCCUUCCAGUUAAGCUUGAUUAAGAACCAAACAACGAUCAGGCAUCUGGAAAUCGAAGAGAAUAACAAUAAGCACGGGAAAGUCAAGAUGGAAGAUAAAUUGUAGCAGAAUUAAUACAAUACUAUACUCCCUCUGACACCCUCGAUAAACAUUAUAUCAGUGACAGCAUCAAAAGUUGAUGUCUCCAGUAACUAGACCAAGAUUAGCCCCACCAUAAGCUGCUUCUUUCACAACUUAAUUUUUAACUCCUGUCACAAGGUGAGGCAGAAAACAAUAUCCACGUCUACGUAACAAAUAAAAGAUUGUUGAAACUGACAAAAGAUAACCAAGCAUACCAGAAGUGCCUUCCAGUUAAGAACCACACAACAAUCAGACAUCUGGAAAUUGAAGAGUAUAACUAUUAGCACGGGAAACUCUAGGUAGAAGAGAAAAUGUAGGUAGAAAAAAAAUACUAUUAGUACUCCCUUUACCACCCACUAUUAACACUAUAUCAAUGACAGCAUGAAGGAUUUGUCAGUGUCCAAAAACCAGACCAAGACAGCCCCCACCUUAAGCUCCUACUUGAUAGAAUCAGAACCUAUUUUGUAUCUCCUAUCACAGGGUGAGGCUGAAACCAACAUCCGAGUCUAAAUAACAACAAAAGAACUACAAUAGAGAGAGCAAAGGUAACCAACUAUCAAACCCGAACUGCCGUCCAGUUAAGCUUGAUUAAGAACCACACAACGAUCGGGCAUCUGGAAAUGAAGAGAAUAACGAUAAGCACCGGAAGGUCUAGAUGGAAGAUAAAUUGUAUAGAAGAAAUACUAUACUAUACUCCCUCUGCCACCCUCGAUAAACACACUAUAUAGUGACCACGUCAAAGGAUUGACUUGUGUGCAAUAACUUGACUAAGAUUAGCCCUACCUUAAGCUCCUACUUGAUAAAAUUAAAACUUAAUUUUUAUCUCAUGUCAUAGGGUGGGGCAGAAAACAAUAUCCACGUCUAUGUAGCAAACAAAAUUGUUGAACUGACAAAAGAUAACCAAACAUCAAACAGAAGUGUCUCCAGUUAAGAACCACCCCACGAUCAGACAUCUGGAAAUUGAAGAGUAUAUCUAUAAGCACGGGAAACUCGAGGUAGAAGAGAAAAUGUAGUAGAAUAAAAAUACUAUUAUGUACUCCCUUUGCCACCCUCGAUUAACACAAUAUCAAUGACUACAUCAAAGAUCUGUCGCGUCCAAAAACCAGACCAAGAUAGCCCCCACAUUAAGCUCCUACAGUGAUGGAAUCAAAACCUAUUUUGUAUCUCCUGUCACAGGGUAGGCUCAAAACAAUAUCCAAGUCUAUAUAACAACAAAAGAAAUAUAAUAGAGAGAUCAAAUGCAACCAAUUAUGAACCCAGAACUGCCUUCCAGUUAAGCUUGAUUAAGAACCAAACAACGAUCAGGCAUCUGGAAAUCGAAGAGAAUAACAAUAAGCACGGGAAAGUCAAGAUGGAAGAUAAAUUGUAGCAGAAUUAAUACAAUACUAUACUCCCUCUGACACCCUCGAUAAACAUUAUAUCAGUGACAGCAUCAAAAGUUGAUAGUCUCCAUAACUAGACCAAGAUUAGCCCCACCAUAAGUGCUUCUUUCACAACUUAAUUUUUAACCCCUGUCACAAGGUGAGGCAGAAAACAAUAUCCACGUCUACGUAACAAAUAAAAGAUUGUUGAAACUGACAAAAGAUAACCAAGCAUACCAGAAGUGCCUUCCAGUUAAGAACCACACAACAUCAGACAUCUGGAAAUUGAAGAGUAUAUCUAUAGCACGGGAAAUUCUAGGUAGAAGAGAAAAUGUAGUAGAAAAAAAAUACUAUUAUGUACUCCCUUUCCACCCCGAUUAAACAUAUCAAUGACCAUAAGAUUGUCGGUCCAAAAACCAGACCAAGACAGCCCCCACCUUAAGCUCCUACUUUGAUAGAAUCAGAACCUAUUUUGUAUCUCCUAUCACAGGGUGAGGCUGAAACCAACAUCGAGUCUAAAUAACAACAAAAGAACUACAAUAGAGAAAGCAAAGGUAACCAACUAUCAAACCCGAACUGCCGUCCAGUUAAGCUUGAUUAAGAACCACACAACGAUCGGGCAUCUGGAAAUGGAAGAGAAUAACGAUAAGCACCGGAAGGUCUAGAUGGAAGAUAAAUUGUAUUAGAAGAAAUACUAUCUAUACUCCCUCUGCCACCCUCGAUAAACACACUAUAUCAGUGACCACGUCAAAGGAUUGACUUGUGUGCAAUAACUUGACUAAGAUUAGCCCUACUUAAGCUCCUACUUUGAUAAAAUUAAAACUUAAUUUUUAUCUCAUGUCAUAGGGUGGGGCAGAAAACAAUAUCCACGUCUAUGUACAAACAAAAUUGUUGAAAUGACAAAAGAUAACCAAACAUCAAACCAGAAG